rnacentral:rRNA from 1 species
UUGAAAAGAACUUUGAAGAGAGAGUUCAAGAGUACGUGAAACCGUUCAGGGGUAAACCUAAGAAACCCAAAAGAUCGAACGGGGAGAUUCAUCGUCAGCGGCGCUGGCUUCGCGUCGGUGGGCGAUGUUCCGCGGAGCCCUUGCGGGAUCCUACCGCGGACACGCUACCGUGCGUCGAUGUCCGGCGCUCGUCGUCGUGCACUUCUCCCCUAGUAGGACGUCGCGACCCGCUGGGUGUCGGUCUACGGCCCGAGUGCGGUGACUGACGCGUCGCCGGUAAAACGGCACGCGUCAAACCCUCGGUCGCCCGGCCGGCUGCCCGGCGGUACACGCACGGUAUAAGGCCGCACAGUUCUCACGUGUGCGUCGGGACCGUCGCAAGCGCGCGCCACGGUACUCGGAGGUUACGGACCUAGCGCCGUCCCCGGUCCUGGCCCGCUGUUGGUCGUACGGUACUCCUCCGACUGGCCUCGAUUAGAACAUACCGGUCGGCGACGCUACUGCUUUGGGUACUCUUAGGACCCGUCUUGAAACACGGACCAAGGAGUCUAACAUGUACGCGAGUCAUUGGGACUAGCGAGACCUAAAGGCGAAAUGAAAGUGAAGAUCGGCCCUGGUUGUCGAUCGAGGGAGGAUGGGCCGCGUCGCGAUGCGGCUCCGCACUCCCGGGGCGUCUCGUUCUCAUUGCGAGAAGAGGCGCACCCAGAGCGUACACGUUGGGACCCGAAAGAUGGUGAACUAUGCCUGGUCAGGACGAAGUCAGGGGAAACCCUGAUGGAGGUCCGUAGCGAUUCUGACGUGCAAAUCGAUCGUCGGAACUGGGUAUAGGGGCGAAAGACUAAUCGAACCAUCUAGUAGCUGGUUCCCUCCGAAGUUUCCCUCAGGAUAGCUGGCACUCGGCCGUUCCGCCAGGAACGCGUGCGAGUCUCAUCUGGUAAAGCGAAUGAUUAGAGGCCUUGGGGCCGAAACGACCUCAACCUAUUCUCAAACUUUAAAUGGGUGAGAUCUCUGGCUUUCUUGAAUUAUGAAGCCACGAGCAUCUCGGAUCAGAGUGCCAAGUGGGCCAUUUUUGGUAAGCAGAACUGGCGCUGUGGGAUGAACCAAACGCAGAGUUAAGGCGCCCAACUCGACGCUCAUGGGACACCAUGAAAGGCGUUGGUUGCUUAAGACAGCAGGACGGUGGCCAUGGAAGUCGGAAUCCGCUAAGGAGUGUGUAACAACUCACCUGCCGAAGCAACUAGCCCUGAAAAUGGAUGGCGCUGAAGCGUCGAGCCUAUACUCUGCCGUCAGCGGCAAGUGGGACGGCCGCGUGCAAGCGCGGUCGUCACGAAGCCCUGACGAGUAGGAGGGUCGCGGCGGUGUGCGCAGAAGGGUCU